rnacentral:lncRNA from 1 species
AAUCAUGGGUGGAUAAGAUGCAAGAAGACCUUGUCACACUGGCAAAAACAGCAAGUGGAGUCAAUCAGCUUGUUGAUAUUUAUGAGAAAUAUCAAGAUUUGUAUACUGUGGAACCAAAUAAUGCACGCCAGCUGGUAGAAAUUGCAGCCAGGGAUAUUGAGAAACUUCUGAGCAACAGAUCUAAAGCCCUGGUGGUCUCAGUGUGAAGAUCAAAAUAGCCUGCUUGACGAUGUUGUUUAAAU